rnacentral:lncRNA from 1 species
GGGCCCCCACCAGCCCGCCGAACCUGCUUCUUUUGCUGUCUUGAAUCCCGCCCUCUUCUCCUCGCCCAACUUCUCCCAAACCCGCCUUCCCAGGGCUCCUGCAGCCUCGCCGCGAUGGACCUGGCACCUGGCGCGGUAUUCACCAGCUGAUUUCUGGGCUCCAGCGUUACCCUUUUUACGGCUUCACAACCAGUCUGGAGCAAAGAAGAAACACUGAGGAAUAUAAGUGAUAGCUGUUCUCUUGAAAGGGACGUGGGAACCGUGGAAAUCACCCUAGAGUAAGGCUCAAAUGUCAGAAAGCUGCAGGAGGCUCCAGAUUUAAAUCCCUGAAGAGCCUAAGAAUGUAAUGAUCUCUUUCUUUUGUUAAUACUGCUGUUGCCUCUAUUUUCUUGGGGGUGAGUCUUCUCUUCCUUUCUUAAAAAGCAACUCUGGGCCGGGCGCAGUGGCUCACGCCUGUAAUCCCAGCACUUUGGGAGGCCCUGGAGGGUGGAUUGCCUGAGGUCAGGAGUUCGAGACCAGCCUGCCUAACAUGGUGAAACCCCGUCUCCACUAAAAAUACAAAAAUUAGCUGGGCGUGGUGGCACACGCCUGUAGUCCCAGCUCCUCGGGAGGCAGGAGAAUCGCUUGAACCCCGGAGGUAGAGGUUGCAGUGAGCCGAGAUCGCAACACUACACUCCAGCCUGGGC